AGGAGCUAAGCAAAAGCCGAGUGUCGUUCGUCGACUCUCGGAAUCAUUCGGUUCGGCAUGGCUCGUCGCCAUCGAGCGUCGAGAGUCGAAACAGAUGUCAUCAUUCAUAACCUGCCAAGUGUCAAAAGUUUUUACACUAUUGCAUUAUUAAUUAUAUUUAUAUCAGCAAGAUAUUUUCAAUUUAUACUCUUUAUGUAGGGUUUAAUAACAAAUUGCAGCCAGUGUUGUAAAGUGUUGAUCGAUCUUGACUAUAAGAUCCAUACAACCAAAGUGGUUUCAAUUUAAGCUUUUUAUGUAGAGCUUGUGGAAAUGAAGGGGGCCCACAGGAUUGGAGAUUAACAAAUUGCUGCCAGUAAAAUAAAAUGUAGAUCAACUUUGAUUAUAAGAUUCAUACCACCAAAGUGUUUUGAAUUUAGACUUUUUAUGCAGAGCUUAUACAAAUGAAGGGAACCACAGGCUUGAAGGUUAUUCGUUAACAAAUUGCAGCAACUGUUGUAAAAUGUUUAUCCAUUUUCAUUACAAGGUAAGUUGCAAAAUCUGAAUUGUCAGAUACCUUCAUUCAUACAGAAUAGAUCCAUACCACUAAAGUGUUUUUAAUUUAGACUUUUUAUGUAGAGCGUAUAGAAAUGGAGUCAUUUUCACAUUUCGUGCAGCAAGAAAAAAAAUUGCAGGUAUUUAUAAUUAUUUAUAAAUUGAACGAAUAAAUGUUUAUAAUUAAUAAAUUAUAUGAAAUAUAUAUGUAUAUAUUCGCUUUUGUUAUCCCUUCUCGCUUUACUUUACUUUAUUCAAUUAAAAAAGAAAGUUUACAGAAAUAUCAAUUUUAAUUUUACAAAUUUAAAAUAGAUUCUAUAUAAUAAAUGAUUUGUAAAAAGAAGUGAGAUCCGAUAAAAAAAACUUUAAAAAAGUAAAAAAAUUACGCCGAGUACAUAAAAAAGUGGAGCACUCAAGGAGUUAUCAUUGAAAAAUAGAAGAUCCCCAUAAAAAACUACAAGAAAAUAGAAAAAUAUAUGAAAUCGAAAUGAACUGCCAGUACAUGGAGAUGCUUUCCAGCACAGUGUAAUGGCGACACUGGGUAACACAAUGUAAAAUUCAGUACCUUCCAUCUAUGCGCAGCUAAAAUGCUGUGUUCAACAGUGCGAACGUUCAGAUCCUAAUGACAAUUCAUGUAAAGUGACUGCUCCGCACUUUGGCGGUGAAAUGAAGAAGCUAAAUAGCGUAUCAACCACAAACUGAGACUGUUUAAAAAUUUGCCUAGAUGUCCGUGGCCUGGAAGUCAAAUGCUUGACGUGGCCAGGCAAGGUCAAGGUUUUGAUGAAUAAGAAUUAUUUUAAAAUGUAAAAUAAUGAAAAUGUACUCAUAUUGUCAGCGUUUUAAACUGAGAAAUUAUCUGAAAGCCUGUG